UACUAGCGGUCCAAGUCGCAGCCAUCAUUAUUGGGUCUAAAACAUCCGUAGCUUGCUUAAUAAGUUCCUUGUGAAAUCUUGUCUCUUAAGGGCAAGGCGUGCAAGGAAUACUGCUAAGCUAGAGACUGGAAGACGUAGAAAGUAUGUUCAAAGUAGCGGUAAAAUGUGUUAAUCUUGAGCAGACUCACAAUAGCGAAGGCAUUCUACGAGGACAGUUCUGACAGUAAAGGAUGAAGGCUAGGGGCGCAAAAUG
rnacentral:rRNA from 1 species